GUGAGCUUGGAUGCUGCAUACAAGGCGAAAUGUCCCCAUAAUACCAAUUUGGUCAGACGUUUGAGGGUGGAAGGACUUGACACAAAGAAACAAGGUAAUGAUUC
rnacentral:ribozyme from 1 species